UACGGGGGGGGGCAAGCGUUGUUCGGAAUUACUGGGCGUAAAGGGCUCGUAGGUGGCCAACUAAGUCAGACGUGAAAUCCCUCAGCUUAACUGGGGAACUGCGUCUGAUACUGGAUGGCUUGAGUUUGGGAGAGGGAUGCGGAAUUCCAGGUGUAGCGGUGAAAUGCGCAGAUAUCAGGAGGAACACCGGUGGCGAAGGCGGCCUUCUGGACAGUGACUGACGCUGGGACGCGAAAGCGUGGGGGAGCAAACAGG
rnacentral:rRNA from 1 species